rnacentral:rRNA from 1 species
UACGAAGGGGGCUAGCGUUGCUCGGAAUCACUGGGCGUAAAGCGCACGUAGGCGGAUCUUUAAGUCAGGGGUGAAAUCCUGGAGCUCAACUCCAGAACUGCCUUUGAUACUGGAGAGCUUGAGUCCGGAAGAGGUGAGUGGAACUCCGAGUGUAGAGGUGAAAUUCGUAGAUAUUCGGAAGAACACCAGUGGCGAAGGCGGCUCACUGGUCCGGUACUGACGCUGAUGUGCGAAAGCGUGGGGAGCAAACAGG